GACGAACGCUGGCGGCGUGCUUAACACAUGCAAGUCGAACGGAAAGGCCUCUUUCGGUGGGUACUCGAGUGGCGAACGGGUGAGUAACACGUGAGUAACCUGCCCUUGACUUUGGGAUAACUUCAGGAAACUGGGGCUAAUACCGGAUAGGAGCUCCUGCUGCAUGGUGGGGGUUGGAAAGUUUCGGCGGUUGGGGAUGGACUCGCGGCUUAUCAGCUUGUUGGUGGGGGAGUGGCUUACUAAGGCUUUGACGGGUAGCCGGCGUCAGAGGGUGACCGGCCACAUUGGGACUGAGAUAAGGCCCAGGCUCCUAAGGGAGGCAGCAGUGGGGAAUAUUGCACAAUGGGUGGAAGCCUGAUGCAGCAACGCCGUGUGCGGGAGGACGGCUUUCGGGUUGAAAACCGCCUUCGCUCAUGACCACGCUUUGUGUGACGGUAGUGGGUAAAGAAGCACCGGCUAACUACGUG
rnacentral:rRNA from 1 species